rnacentral:rRNA from 1 species
AAUCAACGCUGGCGGCGUGCCUCAGACAUGCAAGUCGAACGAUUAAAGCUCUCUUCGGAGAGUGCAUAAAGUGGCGCACGGGUGAGUAACACGUAAGUAAUCUACCUUCGAGUGGGGAAUAACGUCCGGAAACGGACGCUAAUACCGCAUAACGCAGCGGCAUCGCAAGAUGACAGUUGUUAAAGAUUUAUCGCUUGAAGAGGAGCUUGCGGCAGAUUAGCUUGUUGGUAAGGUAACGGCUUACCAAGGCUACGAUCUGUAUCCGGUCUAAGAGGACGGUCGGACACACUGACACUGAAUAACGGGUCAGACUCCUACGGGAGGCAGCAGUCGGGAAUUUUGGGCAAUGGGGGAAACCCUGACCCAGCAACGCCGCGUGAAGGAUGAAGUAUUUCGGUAUGUAAACUUCGAAAGAAUAGGAAGAAUUAAUGACGGUACUAUUUAUAAGGUCCGGCUAACUACGUGCCAGCCGCCGCCGUAAC